rnacentral:rRNA from 1 species
GACGAACGCUGGCGGCAUGCCUAAUACAUGCAAGUCGAACGAUGAUAUUCUCUGCUUGCAGAGAUUUGAAGAGUAGCGAACGGGUGAGUAACACGUGGGGAACCUGCCCAUGAGAGGGGGAGAACAUUCGGAAACGGAUGCUAAUACCGCAUAAUGCUUUGGACCGCCUGGUCCAGAGACGAAAGACGGCUUUUGCUGUCACUCAUGGAUGGCCCCGCGCCGUAUUAGCUAGUUGGUGAGGUAAUGGCUCACCAAAGCUGUGAUACGUAGCCGACCUGAGAGGGUGAUCGGCCACACUGGAACUGAGACACGGCCCAGACUCCUACGGGAGGCAGCAGUGGGGAAUCUUCCACAAUGGGCGCAAGCCUGAUGGAGCAAUGCCGCGUGGAUGAAGAAGGUCUUCGGAUCGUAAAGUUCUGUUAUUAGAGAAGAACAAGUCAAGGAGUAACUGUCUUGGCUUUGACGGUACCUAACGAGAAAGUCACGGCUAACUACGUG